UCGGGACCCAGGUGCAGGGCUCAGGCCCAGCCAGGUGCAGGACCAGAUAGAGGUUGGGGCCCAGGGUGAUGGGUGGGGCUCAGGAAAUGGUCAGGGCCCAGGUGAUGGUUGAGGCCCAGGACAUGGGGCCCAGGUAUUGGUCGGGGCCCAGGUGCAGGGCUCAGGCCCAGCCAGGUGCAGGACCAGGUAGAGGUCAGGGCUCAGGUGAUGGUCUGGGCCCAGGUGCGGAGCUCAGGCCCUGCCAGGUGCAGGACCAGGUAGAGGUCGGGGCCCAGGUGAUGGUCGGGACUCAGGAGAUGGUCAGGGCCCAGGUGAUGGUCGUGGCCCAGGUGCAGGGCUCAGGCCCAGCCAGGUGCAGGACCAGGUAGAGGUCGGGGCCCAGGUGAUGGUCGGGACUCAGGAGAUGGUCAGGGCCCAGGUGAUGGUCGUGGCCCAGGUGAGGGGCUCAGGCCCGGCCAGGUGCAGGACCAGGUAGAGGUCGGGGCCCAGGUGAUGGUCAGGGCCCAGGUGAUGGUCGGGGCCCAGGAGAUGGUCAGGGCCCAGGUGAUGGUCGGGGCCCAGGUGUGGGGCUUAGGCCCGGCCAGGUCCGGGACCAGGUAGAGGUCGGGGCCGGAAUCAGGGCUGGUGUCAGAGUCUGACCUCCCAUAGCCUAACGCAGCCCUUGGGCCCAAGGUGGUGGUCCCCUUGCUCGGAGGUCCCCCUGCAUGGGGCUCCUUGUCCUCGCCGCCGCUCCCCUCCCCCUGGGCCACCUCCUCCGGCCCCUCCGGGACCAUUCUUUCUUUCCCGACUCCCCCAGUAUCUGUUAGAACUCUUCCACCCUGCCUGGCAGUCGUUUCUAUGACACCCCCCUCCCCCCCGCCACUGUCAGUGUCAAGCCCAUUAAAGGGGAUCAGAAAUGGUUGGAGAAUUCUUCUUUUUUUUUUAAGUCCUCAUGUCCCCCAAGCUUAUGCCCACGCGAGUCUGCACCACAUUUUGGAUGCUUCAUAAAGUACCUGUGGGUAAAUUUAUUGAAAGUGGUUGUAGUGGGACCCAAAAGGGGAAACUAUCAAAGAGCAGGUUGGUAUUGGCGGGUGAAGUUGCACAGCCUGACCUCCGUUGAGAUUGGUUGUCUGUGGCUUUUCCCCAGGGGGUGAAUUGCCUUGUGAUGGAGACCGUACUUGUUUGUUGCCAUAUCCUGGGUGAGCUGACCUGGGAAGAUACACGGAAGGUGCAGCACUAACAUUCGUUGUUGAUUGAGGCCGGCUAGGCUCCUGGUAACUCAUUUCCAUGGUGCCCCUAAGAAGGGUAUUGAACUCAGGAACUUGGGCGUGGGCUUUGGGAGUUAGGAAUCAGGUGGAACUUGCAGACUUCUUGGGGAUCCCGGGGUGGCGCAGUGGUUUAGCACCUGCCUUUGGCCCAGGGCAUGAUCCUGGAGUCCCGGGUUCAAGUUCCGUGUCGGGCUCCCUGCAUGGAGCCUGCUUCUCCCUCUGCCUGUGUCUCUGCCUCUCUCUCUCUCUCUCUGUGUCUGUCUUGAAUGGAUAAGUAAAAUCUUAAAAAAAAAAAAAGAACUUGCAGACUUCCGAGGGCACCCCCUAUGGGUCCUCCAACCUCCUCUCUUACUCUUUCCAAUAGGUUGGGUGUAUUAUUCUCCACUAACUUUGCUUUACUCAUUUGCUAUCUCAACAUGGUUUAUAAUGUGUGCGUCUGUGUUAAAAACCCUAAUUGUGCUUAGAACUCUCUGGAAUCCCACCCACAUCCCAGGGCUGUCUGUCUAGCUGCCCCCUCCUCUUCUAGCUGGGGCAACACUUCGCCUGCCCUACGUGGUGUUUGAGGGAAGGGACGUGGCACAGAGACAUGUGCUGCAUUACCCAGUGAAGUAGGCAGGUAGUGUCCCCUAACCCAGAAGGGAAGAAGUGCGUUAGCCAGGAGGUAAGCCCGCCCGACCACGGCAGGUGCCACCGUACUCUCACCCUUUUACCUUCUGUGUUAGUCCUGUGGAGAGCCAGGGAGGAGGCAGGGUGCUAUGCCUCAUUCUGUGGGGCUUGGCUUGGCGCUGGGCUCCUGGAAGUUUGGAGUGCCUCGGAAUGGGGAAGGAGGAGGGACAUUCAAGCAGGAAUUGACUUGGUUGGCCAGGUCGCCAGGCUGCGUGGAAGCAGUCACACGUUCCCAAUCAGGGGCCAGUGUUCUGCUUUUCUUUCAUGUUUUUUUUUUUUUUUCUUCCAAAUCUAAUGCUGAAAUUAAUUUCUCUGCCUGUGUAAAGGUAAAUGCGUCAACUGUCACCUCUUGUUAGGGAUAUGAGAAUGACAUAUUGAAAAGCAUUUUCCGGUAAGAGAUGAAGAGCUUCCUGAAAAUUCUUAACUCUCUCUGAGUAUUGUGUUCAAGUCACCAUAUCAGUAAUUUAGUUACAGCUAAACUAGCUCUCUCUCAUAAAUCAAAGCAUUGGCCUUGUAAGGUUAAUGUUUCUUGUCCCUUAAAAAUAUUGUUCACAAUUUUAACUGCCAGCAAAAUAGGAAACCUCAGAAGAGACAAAAUAAAGGCUCUAGGGAUAUCA
rnacentral:lncRNA from 12 species